UGAUAAAAUCAAACGCUGAAAUGAUCUCAAGUAUUCAUUUUUUGUCAGACAUCGUCUGGAAGCCUUGGGAAAGGACAUAUCAACCAUAAAUGUUCCUGUUGAAGCUGUUACUACUAUUCCUAAAGUGCAAAUUACAGCUCCUUCGUCUACGCCAUUGAUAGACGCAGUGACCCCUUCACCAGGGACUCCAAAUGCGAGAAAAAGAAGAACAGCAGCCUCGUUUUUGGACCAAAAUCCGCUGAA